rnacentral:tRNA from 1 species
GGUUCGGUGGUCUAGGGGUAUGAUUCUCGCUUAGGGUGCGAGAGGUCCAGGGUUCAAAUCCCGUCCGAACCC